rnacentral:rRNA from 1 species
UACGUAGGAAUAUGUCUUUGAGAGGGGGAUAACACGGGGAAACUCGUGCUAAUACCGCAUAACCUUGAGAGAGCAAAGUGUGGGACCGAAAGGCACAUGCUUGAAGAGUAGCUUACGUCGGAUUAGCUAGUUGGUAGGGUAAAAGCCUACCAAGGCGAUGAUCCGUAGCUGGUCUGAGAGGACGAUCAGCCACACUGGGACUGAGACACGGCCCAGACUCCUACGGGAGGCAGCAGUGGGGAAUUUUGGACGAUGGGGGCAACCCUGAUCCAGCAAUGCCGCGUGUGUGAAGAAGGCCUG